rnacentral:rRNA from 1 species
UACGAAGGGGGCUAGCGUUGUUCGGAAUUACUGGGCGUAAAGCGCGCGCAGGCGGCUAUCCAAGUCAGUGGUGAAAGCCCGGAGCUCAACUCCGGAACUGCCAUUGAAACUGUUUAGCUUGAGGAUGAGAGAGGUGAGUGGAAUUCCCAGUGUAGAGGUGAAAUUCGUAGAUAUCGGGAAGAACACCCGUGGCGAAGGCGGCUCUCUGGGACGGUACUGACGCUGAGACGCGAAAGCGUGGGGAGCGAACAGG